ensembl:miRNA
GGGAAGAAAGCGAAGUCCAUCCUCAUCCUAUAGACAACUGAUAGGAUGAGGAUGGACUUAGCUUUCGCCC